CGGUCCAGACUCCUACGGGAGGCAGCAGUGGGGAAUAUUGCACAAUGGGCGCAAGCCUGAUGCAGCCAUGCCGCGUGUGUGAAGAAGGCCUUCGGGUUGUAAAGCACUUUCAGCGGGGAGGAAGGCGGUGAGGUUAAUAACCUCAUCGAUUGACGUUACCCGCAGAAGAAGCACCGGCUACUCCGUGCCAGCAGCCGCGGUAAUACGGAGGGUGCAAGCGUUAAUCGGAAUUACUGGGCGUAAAGCGCACGCAGGCGGUCUGUCAAGUCGG
rnacentral:rRNA from 1 species